ACGAACGCUGGCGGCAUGCCUAAUACCUGCAAGUCGAACGAGAUCUUCGGAUCUAGUGGCGCACGGGUGCGUAACGCGUGGGAAUCUGCCCUUGGGUUCGGAAUAACUUCUGGAAACGGAAGCUAAUACCGGAUGAUGACGUAAGUCCAAAGAUUUAUCGCCCAAGGAUGAGCCCGCGUAGGAUUAGGUAGUUGGUGAGGUAAAGGCUCACCAAGCCGACGAUCCUUAGCUGGUCUGAGAGGAUGAUCAGCCACACUGGGACUGAGACACGGCCCAGACUCCUACGGGAGGCAGCAGUAGGGAAUAUUGGACAAUGGGCGAAAGCCUGAUCCAGCAAUGCCGCGUGAGUGAUGAAGGCCUUAGGGUUGUAAAGCUCUUUUACCCGGGAUGAUAAUGACAGUACCGGGAGAAUAAGCUCCGGCUAACUCCGUG
rnacentral:rRNA from 1 species